rnacentral:rRNA from 1 species
GUGGCGAGAGGAUUCAGUCUGGAGCGGCGGACACGUGGACCAGAAAUAAAAGCAGGGCUUCCCCGAGCGGGGGCCGUCUGGUCUCGUGGAGCUUCCGUCGCGUCCGACGCAUUUGUCUCUCGUCCUAAGGACGCCGCGGCCGGUUGAGGACCCGCAAACGUGACGGCCUGAGGGGCGGAAAAUGGCAGGUGGCCGGUGGCGAGCUUCGUGUUCGCCGUCGGUUGUUAGCCGUUCCGCCAGUGGCUCGUCCCUUGACCGAGGUGUCGCAAGGCCCGAGUGGCCACGUCGUCUCCUCCUCUGUAAUUUGGAAGUCGGAACAGAGCGUCGCAGGUGGCAACCGUCGUCCCGUUCGCACCCCUGCGGGGUGGUCGGGCGCACGUGGGGCCGCCGAUGGUGGCGUCGGGUCCGUUGGAGGCUGGAGGCUCGCGGCGAGUAGGUCGGUCACCCACCUGACCCGUCUUGAAACACGGACCAAGGAGUCUAACAUGUGCGCGAGUCAUUGGGUCUUGAAUAGGCCCAGGGGCGCAAUGAAAGCAAAGGCCUUCUCUACGGAGGCCGAGUUGGGAUCCCCCCUUCACGGGGGGGCGCACCAACGACCCGUCCUAUCCGGUUCGCCGGUUGGGCGGAGUAUGAGCGUACACGUUGGGACCCGAAAGAUGGUGAACUAUGCCCGGACAGGACGAGGCCAGAGGAAACUCUGGUGGAGGUCCGCAGCGGUGCUGACGUGCAAAUCGAUCGUCAGAUCCGGGUCUAGGGC